AGAGUUCGAUCCUGGCUCAGGAUGAACGCUGGCGGCGCGCCUAACACAUGCAAGUCGAACGGCACCUAUCUUCGGAUAGAAGCGAGUGGCGAACGGCUGAGUAACACGUGGAGAACCUGCCCCCUCCCCCGGGAUAGCCGCCCGAAAGGACGGGUAAUACCGGAUACCCCGGGGUGCCGCAUGGCACCCCGGCUAAAGCCCCGACGGGAGGGGAUGGCUCCGCGGCCCAUCAGGUAGACGGCGGGGUGACGGCCCACCGUGCCGACAACGGGUAGCCGGGUUGAGAGACCGACCGGCCAGAUUGGGACUGAGACACGGCCCAGACUCCUACGGGAGGCAGCAGUGGGGAAUCUUGCGCAAUGGGGGGAACCCUGACGCAGCGACGCCGCGUGCGGGACGGAGGCCUUCGGGUCGUAAACCGCUUUCAGCAGGGAAGAGUCAAGACUGUACCUGCAGAAGAAGCCCCGGCUAACUACGUGCCAGCAGCCGCGGUAAUACGUAGGGGGCGAGCGUUAUCCGGAUUCAUUGGGCGUAAAGCGCGCGUAGGCGGCCCGGCAGGCCGGGGGUCGAAGCGGGGGGCUCAACCCCCCGAAGCCCCCGGAACCUCCGCGGCUUGGGUCCGGUAGGGGAGGGUGGAACACCCGGUGUAGCGGUGGAAUGCGCAGAUAUCGGGUGGAACACCGGUGGCGAAGGCGGCCCUCUGGGCCGAGACCGACGCUGAGGCGCGAAAGCUGGGGGAGCGAACAGGAUUAGAUACCCUGGUAGUCCCAGCCGUAAACGAUGGACGCUAGGUGUGGGGGGACGAUCCCCCCGUGCCGCAGCCAACGCAUUAAGCGUCCCGCCUGGGGAGUACGGCCGCAAGGCUAAAACUCAAAGGAAUUGACGGGGGCCCGCACAAGCAGCGGAGCAUGUGGCUUAAUUCGAAGCAACGCGAAGAACCUUACCAGGGCUUGACAUGGACGUGAAGCC
rnacentral:rRNA from 1 species